GACGAACGCUGGCGGCGUGCUUAACACAUGCAAGUCGAACGGAAAGGCCCUGCUUUUGUGGGGUGCUCGAGUGGCGAACGGGUGAGUAACACGUGAGUAACCUGCCCUUGACUUUGGGAUAACUUCAGGAAACUGGGGCUAAUACCGGAUAGGAGCUCCUGCUGCAUGGUGGGGGUUGGAAAGUUUCGGCGGUUGGGGAUGGACUCGCGGCUUAUCAGCUUGUUGGUGGGGUAGUGGCUUACCAAGGCUUUGACGGGUAGCCGGCCUGAGAGGGUGACCGGCCACAAUGGGACUGGGAUACGGACCAGACCCCUACGGGAGGCAGAAGUGGGGGAUAUUGCACAAUGGGAGGAAGCCUGAUGCAGCAACGCCGCGUGCGGGAUGACGGCCUUCGGGUUGUAAUCCGCUUUCGCCUGUGACGAAGCGUGAGUGACGGUAAUGGGUAAAGAAGCACCGGCUAACUACGUG
rnacentral:rRNA from 1 species